AUUGAACGCUGGCGGCAUGCCUAACACAUGCAAGUCGAACGGUAACACCAUGAGCGUGUCCUCCUACCGGUGGCGGGGGGCGGAAGAGUGAGGAAUGUAUCUGCUACUACUGUUUCAUGGCUCACAACGGUAGCUAACACCUCAUAAUAUCUCAUAAUGCCAACGGGUGACCUCAGGGGCUCUUGCUACUUUUGCGGAUUGUAUUAGCUGAUGUCGGAUUAGCUAGUUGGGGGGGUAAAGGCCUACCAAGGCGACGAUCCGUAGCUGGUCUGAGAGGACGAUCAGCCACACUGGAACUGAGACACGGUCCAGACUCCUACGGGAGGCAGCAGUGGGGAAUUUUGGACAAUGGGCGCAAGCCUGAUCCAGCAAUGCCGCGUGAAUGAUGAAGGCCUUCGGGUUGUAAAGCGCUUUUGUUCGGAAAGAAAAGCUGUAGGAUAAUACAGGAGGGUCAUGACGGUACCGAAAGAAUAAGCACCGGCUAACUACGUG
rnacentral:rRNA from 1 species